rnacentral:SRP_RNA from 1 species
UCGUGCUAGACGGGGAGCCAGCGGUGCCCUGUACCCGUAAUCCGCUAUAACGGGGUUGAACUCCCCGCUCUCGAUAUACUCUCUUUUUGGUUCAACACAUGCAGGCGAUGUUGAUGGACAGGCUCCGCGCAUCGGCAAGCAUCUGAACCGUGUCAGGACCGGAAGGUAGCAGCACUAAGGGUGACUUCCCGAGUGCCGCGGAAACACCUGACCGGAGUCGUCGGCGAAUGCUUCCAGAAAGAGAUAUAACAAAAGCGGGGUGCACGA